AGAGUUUGAUCCUGGUUCACAUUGAACGCUGGCGGCAGGCCUAACACAUGCAAGUCGAGCGGUAACAAAGAGAAGCUUGCUNCUCUGCUGACGAGCGGCGGACGGGUGAGUAAUGCUUGGGAAUAUGCCUUAUGGUGGGGGACAACAGUUGGAAACGACUGCUAAUACCGCAUGAUGUCUACGGACCAAAGUGGGGGACCUUCGGGCCUCACGCCAUAAGAUUAGCCCAAGUGGGAUUAGCUAGUUGGUGAGGUAAUGGCUCACCAAGGCGACGAUCCCUAGCUGGUUUGAGAGGAUGAUCAGCCACACUGGGACUGAGACACGGCCCAGACUCCUACGGGAGGCAGCAGUGGGGAAUAUUGCACAAUGGGCGCAAGCCUGAUGCAGCCAUGCCGCGUGUGUGAAGAAGGCCUUCGGGUUGUAAAGCACUUUCAGUAAGGAGGAAAGGUUAAGUGUUAAUAGCACUUAGCUGUGACGUUACUUACAGAAGAAGCACCGGCUAACUCCGUGCCAGCAGCCGCGGUAAU
rnacentral:rRNA from 1 species